UACGUAGGUGGCAAGCGUUGUCCGGAAUCACUGGGCGUAAAGCGCGCGCAGGCGGCGAUCUACGUCUGGGGGUGAAAGCCCGGAGCUCAACUCCGGGACUGCCUUGGAUACGGGAUCGCUUGAGGAUUGGAGAGGCAAGGGGAAUUCCACGUGUAGCGGUGAAAAUGCGUAGAUAUGUGGAGGAACACCUGUGGCGAAGGCGCCUUGCUGGCCAAUUUCUGACGCUGAGGCGCGAAAGCGUGGGGAGCAAACAGG
rnacentral:rRNA from 1 species